GCCGAGCCGCGAGGACCGCACUCCGUGGCCCCGAUGGAGCGGUACAAAGCCUCUAGGUCUCUACUCAUGAUGAAAGAGGCUUCGGGGACUCUACUUCAUGAAUGAAGCCCUUAGCGUGUGGAUUUUUGCUUUUCUGACCUGGAGCCCUGGAACAGCUGCUGACAGAGUUGGAUGACUUCCUCAAGAUUCUUGACCAGGAGAACCUGAGCAGCACAGCCCUGGUGAAGAAGAGCUGCCUGGCGGAGCUCCUCCGGCUUUACACCAAAAGCAGCAGCUCUGAUGAGGAGUACAUUUAUAUGAACAAAGUGAUCAUCAACAAGCAACAGAAUGCAGAGUCUCAAGGCAAAGCGCCUGAGGAGCAGGGCCUGCUGCCAAAUGGGGAGCCCAGCCAGCCCUCCUCGGCCCCUCAGAAGAGCCUUCCAGACCUCCCACCACCCAAGAUGAUUCCAGAACGGAAACAGCCUGCCAUCCCAAAGACGGAGUCUCCAGAGGGCUACUAUGAAGAGGCUGAGCCAUAUGACACAUCCC
rnacentral:sRNA from 1 species